rnacentral:rRNA from 1 species
GCGCGAAACCUCCACAAUGCACGAAAGUGUGAUGGGGGGAUCCUACGUGCUCAUGUCUAACAUGGGCUUUUGCCGAGACCAGACAUCUCGGCGAAUAAGGGGUGGGCAAGACCGGUGCCAGCCGCCGCGGUAACCCCGGCGCCCCGAGUGGCGAUCGCGAUUAUUGGGCCUAAAGCGUCCGUAGCCGGACGGGUAAAUCCUCUGUGAAAUCGUCGCGCUUAACGUGACGGCGCGCAGGGGAAACUGCCUGUCUCGAGACCGGGAGGGGUCAGAGGUAUGCCGUGGGGACUGGUAAAAUGGAUUAAUCCACGGUAGACCACCAAUGGCGAAGGCAUCUGACCGGAACGGAUCUGACGGUGAGGGACGAAAGCUGGGGGAGCGAACCGG